UACGUAGGGUGCGAGCGUUGUCCGGAAUUAUUGGGCGUAAAGAGCUUGUAGGCGGUUUGUCGCGUCUGCUGUGAAAAUCCGAGGCUCAACCUCGGACUUGCAGUGGGUACGGGCAGACUAGAGUGUGGUAGGGGAGACUGGAAUUCCUGGUGUAGCGGUGGAAUGCGCAGAUAUCAGGAGGAACACCGAUGGCGAAGGCAGGUCUCUGGGCCAUUACUGACACUGAGAAGCGAAAGCAUGGGGAGCGAACAGG
rnacentral:rRNA from 1 species